AGCUCUUCGAGCAGUGCAUUGAAAGGGAACACACCUCCUGCAGCUAAGCCUCUUGUCAACCGAGAGCUUAUACAACACACCCGCAUCUCCAUAUUGACCAGUCAGAUCACUCAGCAUUUGUACAGAUGGCCCUUUUCGGUGAGAGCGCCGGCGCCAACGUGUCCUCUCGGGUUGUCUUCGGUAUCCUUGUUGCGUGUGCGUGGGUGAUUGGUCUCACCGCUUACGGUAUUCUGUACUGCAUCCGGCGAAAGCAAGCCGCGCGUCAGCAGCAACUAGAGGAGGCUGCACAGGCUGGAGGCGUUCAGUACGGUGGGGCGACAUCGCCCUACGGCGGCCCUUAUGGAGGACCGCCGGUGGUGCAUGGCGCGGUGGUCGCAUAUCAAGAAGCGCCCGCCGCUUCAACUGACUUGGCUGGUGUGCCACCGGCACACCCCGGAUGGGAACUGAGCAACGGCGCUUGGCGUCCCUCUCAACAACCAACUCCUUUGUACCCAGGUGUAGUGGUGGAGCAACAGCAGCAGCCAGGUAAUACCACUGAUGCAGCGAACAUAUACGGCACGGCGUACUACUACACGCAGCCGAACGAACAGCAGACGGCGGGUACGGAACCUGUGAAACCUCUGUGAACAGGGGUAGCGUAGUAAUCCGUGCUGCGUCGGUGAUAUCACUCGGUCUUUCGGAGCUGCUCUUCCUGGUGAUUCUCCGUGGUUCCUGUGCUGUGGCCUGGUUUUUCGCCCCAUCCUACCGCCUCUGUUUGUCAGCGUCUGUGGUGGUGAUGCCGAUGAGCGGCAUUCAUCAUGUAUUUGUCGGCGUAACUGUGCGCGAUGCUUCAGCUGCCUCUCGUUUCGCUGCGACAUACCGCCCCGACGCCCCCCUCCCUCUCCUCUUCCUCCUUUAUUGCCCUUUCCUCACAAG
rnacentral:misc_RNA from 1 species